UCUCCGUUGGUGAACCAGCGGAGGGAUCAUUACAGAGUUAUCUAACUCCCAAACCCAUGUGAACUUACCUUUGUUGCCUCGGCGGCGCGGUCCGGCCCUGCUACCCCGAAGUGCUUACCCUGUAGGUGCUACCCGGUGGUCAGGGCAGGCCCGCCCGCCGGCGGCCCACGAAACUCUGUUUUAGCAGUUCUUCUGAAUCAAAAACUUAAUAAGUUAAAACUUUCAACAACGGAUCUCUUGGUUCUGGCAUCGAUGAAGAACGCAGC
rnacentral:misc_RNA from 1 species